GUAGAUAUUUUUGAAAUUCAUGUGAAAUGGAUCUGUUUAGUCAAUAUAUAAUAUGUCAGCUGUCAACUCGACGCGUUCCACUUUUUUCUAACAAAAUGUUACAUUUCAUUAUGAAAUUCUGCAGUUAUCACAUUAUUUUUUACCAAAAAGAAGAAGAUAGCACAUUUAGUAAUGCAAUAUUAAAACAUAUGAGUGUACAGUGAAUUUGAAUGACCGGUACAAUGGGUCUAAAAAAGAAGAAGAAUAUAAUAAUUUUGACAUUGUGUAUGGUGAUAUGCUUCAUACUUUACCAGUUGUAUUUCUUCCUAACGAUAACCUCUGAAGCCGGCGAUAACAAUAGGGUUGUUCCUGUCUUACACCUGGAUCACGAAGAAGUCGAAGCUAUGACACAUCUACGUUCCGAAGCUGAUAAGUUCAUAA